UACGUAGGUGGCAAGCGUUAUUCGGAUUCACUGGGCGUAAAGGGUGCGCAGGCGGCCAAGUGUGUGAGGCGUGAAAGCCCGGGGCUUAACCCCGGAAUUGCACCUCAAACUACAUGGCUAGAGCAUUGGAGAGGGUAGCAGAAUUCAUGGUGUAGCAGUGAAAUGCGUAGAUAUCAUGAGGAAUACCAGAGGCGAAGGCGGCUACCUGGACAAUUGCUGACGCUCAGGCACGAAAGCGUGGGGAGCAAAAGGG
rnacentral:rRNA from 1 species